GUUUUCACAUUCGCCCCCCAUCGAAAUGCGGCCGCCGUGGCCGGGAUUCGAUCUCGCAAACUCGUGCUUAGCAGCCCACCACCAUAGCCACUAAGCAACCACGGCUAGUCACAGCUCAAUUUGUAGCAGGUAAACUACAUACAGGUUGUUUCAGCGAACAGUACAUUUUUUUUUAAUUUGCCUGUGGCAGAUAGCAGAAUUCCAGUCUAUUAGCUGGUCUACUCGAAGAAGCGGACGUUACGUGCACAAUAUUUCGAAUGCCUAAUCGACUAAUUAACAGAAAUUCACUCAUUACGUUUUUAAUUAAUUACCUUAUGGCACAUAUAGCUGUUUACAAAUUCUAGCGGGUGAGACGGCAAGGCACAUGCACUUGAAAAGAAUUGUGUCGAUGACACCAUUUACAAGAUAUCGCCGCCAAACUUGUAGUAAAAUUGCACUGUUGUUCCACUAUUUUUUUCAACGAAAGGUCGUUUUAUGUAGUGAAGCACAAAACUAACUGAACUACCAAUGCAUUUCUCCGCAAUGUUUCGAAUAAAUAUCUCGAAACUGCGGUCAUCCUAAGAAUUCGGCCCAAGUGGACCUCCCUCGGCAACUACCCGGUUAGAAUUUGUAAAUUGCAACAUGUGCCAUAAGGUAAUUUGUUAAUUUGUCGAUUAUGCAUUUCAAUUUUUUUUUUUGCAAGCAAUGUCCGCCUCCUCGCGUAGACUAGCUCAUGGACGAGGAUCGUGCUAUCUGCCACAGCCAAUUAAAGAAAAGUUAUGAAAGAGUUCGCUGAAACACUCGGUAUGUUCAUUAUUGUAGGCUGCAUG